ensembl:lncRNA
GUUGUGACUCGUGGGCAGUUUUAUCUUUCACGCUAAACAGAAAACAGAAACAGAACAGCAAGUCUUGAGUGAGAUGUAGUUCUUCUUUUCUUCUGAGAAAUGUAUACCCGAAACUAUCAACAGUCUACAGAACUGCAGUAUGACCUCCCAGUGUAGUACAUGAUGUUAUGUGAAGUGCUGAUAACAAAAACAAAAACAAAAACAAAAAAAAUCAUAAAACCAUGACUAAGGAGAAGUGAUUUCAAACUAAAAGAGAGAUUAUUUAUAUUGUAUGUAAGGAAGAAGGUUUUUACAGUCAAGGUGGUGAGAGAUUGGCACAGGUUACCCAGAGAGCUGGUGGAAAUCCCAUUGCUGGACAUACUCAAGGCCAGACUGGAUGGGGCUCUGAGCACCUGAUGGAGCUUUAGGUGUUCAAUGCAGGGGAAUUGGACUAGAUGACCUUUAAUGGUCUCUUCCUACUCAAAUGAUUCUAUGAUACUGUGAUUCUAUAAUACAGUAUGAAAUAUUCCUUCUGCCAUCUAAUGGAGUCACCAGUCUUGGAGAUGGUCUUGCCACCAAAAUCCAGGAAUGAAACUUGCCAACCUGAAGGACAGCUGUUUUAAAACUCCAGCUGGUACAAAGACACCGAAACGUAAAGCAAGAUAGGACAAGAAAUUUGGAAUGACAGAAGGUGCCUUGUCUUUUUUUUUCUAUUUUUUUUAUACCACCCGCUCACAAUUAAGACUUUAUCGCCUCCAGAUGACACACAGAAGUGCUGGUAGAACACCAUGGACAUACCUACAUUUCGUCUUUCAGCAUCUCAUAAUGGUAGGUAUUAAUGUCUUCACUUCUCUGUGAGAGAAUUGUAGGUUAAGAGCACUAUAAACCUCACAAGCAUGAUUAGCAGGAGGAGCACCCAAGACUGAUCUCUUAUUUUAAAUGGGCUUGAUUUACAUCUUCAAUAAAUCUGAAGUGGUCUGUUUAUACCACUUGACCUUUGACCUGAAUCCUGGAAUCGAAGAAUAUGAUCCAGUUUAGGAAUUCUUUG